AGUAACGGCGAGUGAAGCGGCAACAGCUCAAAUUUGAAAUCUGGCUCUUUUAGAGUCCGAGUUGUAAUUUGCAGAGGGCGCUUUGGCUUUGGCAGCGGUCCAAGUUCCUUGGAACAGGACGUCACAGAGGGUGAGAAUCCCGUACGUGGUCGCUGGCCUACGCCGUGUAAAGCCCCUUCGACGAGUCGAGUUGUUUGGGA
rnacentral:rRNA from 1 species